rnacentral:rRNA from 1 species
AGAGUUUGAUUCUGGCUCAGAACGAACACUGGCGGCGUGCUUAAUACAUGCAAGUCGAACGGGAACGGGUCCUUCGGGGCCCUAGUACAGUGGCGAACGGGUGAGUAACGCGUAAGCAAUCUGCCUUUCAGCUGGGGACAACCCUGCCAACGUGGGGCUAAUACCGAAUAACAUUGCAUUACCGCAUGGUAGUGUGAUAAAAGGCUUCGGCCACUGAAAGAGGAGCUUGCGUCCUAUUAGCUUGUUGGUGAGGUAACGGCUCACCAAGGCUGCGAUAGGUAGCCGGCCUGAGAGGGUGAUCGGCCACAUUGGGACUGAGAUACGGCCCAGACUCCUACGGGAGGCAGCAGUAGGGAAUUUUGCGCAAUGGACGAAAGUCUGACGCAGCAACGCCGCGUGAGUGAGGAAGGUCUUCGGAUCGUAAAGCUCUGUCAGAAGGGAAGAAACUCCGCUUCGUGCGGAUUGACGGUACCUUCAGAGGAAGCUCCGGCUAACUCCGUGCCAGCAGCCGCGGUAAUACGGGGGGAGCGAGUGUUGUUCGGAUUUAUUGGGCGUAAAGGGAGUGUAGGCGGAAGUCUAAGUCAGGGGUGAAAAUUCUGGGCUCAACCCGGAACCUGCCUCUGAGACUGGAUUUCUUGAGUAUGGAAGAGGACGAUGGAAUUCCUGGUGUAGCGGUGGAAUGCGUAGAUAUCAGGAGGAACACCAAUAGCGAAGGCAGUCGUCUGGGACAAUACUGACGCUGAAACUCGAAAGCGUGGGUAGCGAACAGGAUUAGAUACCCUGGUAGUCCACGCCGUAAACGAUGGAUACUAGAUAUUGGGGGAGUUGACCCCUCCAGUGUCGUAGCUAACGCGUUAAGUAUCUCGCCUGGGGAGUACGGUCGCAAGGCUGAAACUCAAAGAAAUUGACGGGGGCCCGCACAAGCGGUGGAGCAUGUGGUUCAAUUCGAUGAUACGCGAAGAACCUUACCUGGGUUUGACAUGGGGCUGCCGUGAGCAGAGAUGUUCACUUUUCUUCGGAAACGGCCCACACAGGUGCUGCAUGGCUGUCGUCAGCUCGUGUCGUGAGAUGUUGGGUUAAGUCCCGCAACGAGCGCAACCCUUGUUCUGUGUUACCAGCGGAUAAUGCCGGGGACUCACAGGAGACUGCCUCAUCUUAGGAGGAGGAAGGUGGGGACGACGUCAAGUCAUCAUGGCCCUUACGCCCAGAGCUACACACGUGCUACAAUGGUCGGUACAAAGAGUUGCAAUACUGCGAAGUGGAGCUAAUCUCAAAAAAACCGGCCUCAGUUCGGAUUGGAGUCUGCAACUUGACUCCAUGAAGUUGGAAUCGCUAGUAAUCGCAGAUCAGCAAUGCUGCGGUGAAUACGUUAUCGGGCCUUGUACACACCGCCCGUCAAGCCAUGAAAGCCGGGGGUACUCGAAGUGGUUGCCUGAACCUUCGGGAGGGCGCCCCUAAAGUAAAACUGGUGAUUGGGGCUAAGUCGGAACAAGGUA